UAGAGAUGCGCGAAGAACGAAAACUGGUCUUUUCGCAGUUAUGGACUCUAGUGAACUGCGGUAUGCUUACCUGCAUACUCACAAUCUAGCGCAGUACAAAUACGCGAUUUACAGUUCGUGAUUACAAACGUAGAGUUUCAUUAGUAACGCUAGGUUAUGCCUUGCGCUAGUUAAACAUUCGAUUUUGAAAUGAUGGAUCCAUUGUCAGAGGAAAAGGGAAGAAAGAAGCAGAUAAGAGUAUCGUUUAGCUGAUCGCUUCUGGAAAAUACGUCAAAGGAAAAUGGAUUCGUUGAAAGAAGAAGACUUUCCUGUAUUAACAAAUAUGUAGUUUUCAAAAUAAGAAAACGAUGUAUGUACAUAAGUAUGUAUGAUAAUAAGAUAUUUGAAGAUAUUCGAA